AAUACUUCCUGGUUACAUUCUUGUCAACAGACAGUGAUUAAACUUGCACAGAGGUUCCGCAAUAUUUGGUAUGUUAUAUUUUUGUCAAUAUCCUGAGUCUUAUAUUUAAUAUGGCGCCGUCCGUACCGAUAUGCGAUAUCUGUAUGACAGAUAACAUAACAAAAUCUGCCACCGUUUGGUGUUCAGAAUGUGAAGAAGCCAUAUGUAAUGAAUGCGAAAGACAACAUGGCCGCAUGGGUUUAACAAAGUACCAUAAAACAAUACCUAUAAAAGAUUACCAGAAACUGCCUAGUUCUGUUGCUGCAAUCAAACAGAAAUGCAUGCGUCACAAUUUAAAAUUCUACUUCUAUUGUGUAAUUCACAACGAACCAUGUUGUGUGUCUUGUAUUUCAGAGGAACAUGGUACCUGUCAAAAAUUGAAGCUAUAUCGGAAGUAGUGGAAGGAGCAAAGUCGUCUGCUGCAUUUGCAGAUUUAGAAGAUAGGGCAAAAGACAUCAGCGCACUUAUUGGCAAUCUGAUAACUGAGAAUCAAAAUAAUCGAGCAGCUUUUGGAGUUCAGAAAGAUAAAAUCAUUUCUGAAGUGCAAAAUAUCCGAACAGCAAUAAAUGAUCAUUUAAUUAAACUAGAAAAAGAUCUUUUGGAUAAAUUGGACAACAUGGAGAAAAAACAGAACGGAAAUAUUGAUAGUUUUAUUAAAAAGCUCUCAGAAAUGCGCACAAAAGUUGAAAACAUAAGUGGUGAUUUGGAAAAAACUAAGCGACACGCGUCAAAUUUCCAAGCUUUCAUUGGUAUACACGAAUGGAAAAAAAAAUUGAGAUAGAAGAAAAAGAUUGGAUGUCCUUACAAACCGAUCAGAUAAUGAACCAUUUUGAUAUUAACAUAAAAUGUUCACCGAUACUUUUGAAGUUCGAGAAAGACGUCACAGAAUUAGGGAAGAUAGAAGUGAAUUCUUCGUCCUAAAAAAAAAUACUUCUUAAGAAGGAGAAGCAGGGACAGAUUUUUGUUCCUAUUUCUAACACUGUAGAUACCAUUAAAUUAACAAAUAUCCGCUCUUUCUACACACUAGAUGGAACAUCCAGCAAUACGCUUAUAACAGGUUUCGAUAUGUUCGACGACGGGAGAAUCGUGCUUGCCGAUCAAUCGUCAAACAAAAGACUUAUUAUCAUGAAUCAAGAAGGCGAGCAUAUAAAAAAAUACAACUUGAAGAACAAUGUUUUGAUGUGGCAGUAAUAGAUGAAGACACAGUUGCUACAACAUUAUUUGUCAAGAAGAAAGUUGUUAUUGUUGAUGUUAACUCAUCAGAAGUACAAAGGACUAUACGUACGAAAGACGAAUGCUACGGUAUUAUUAGUACAGGUGAACAAUUAGUCGUCAGCUUCUACAACAAGACCAUUCAGUUCUUUGAUAUUUCUGGCAAUACCUUGUCAACGUUGUCAACAGCCGAUACGUCCAUUUAUUGUACAUUUUUGAAUGACAAACUUUAUUAUACCACAUGCAAUAGUGAUGCUGUCUACUCAGCUGAAUUACAUGGAGAAGUUCGUUGGAAAUUCGACUGUCAGAAAUCAGCUUAUCCGACCGAUAUAACUAACGAUGCUUCUGGAAAUAUUUUCGUAGCGUGUAGAAACAGUAAUCAAAUGGUGGUAGUAGGGCACGAUGGGAAGGAAUCAAGAGUCCUCUUAACAAAAGAAGAUGGAUUGCAAAAACCUAGAGCAAUACACUACAACUGUAAAACCAACACACUCGUUGUGUGUAAUUUUUUAGGACAAUGCUUCCUAUACAAAGUUACAAACUGAAUAUUUUGUUAAUAAUGCAGAGAAUAUAGCUUUUGUAUACUAUGUAUAAUUAUAUAAAUUUCAGACAAAUAGCAGCAUGACAAAAAACUUAUAAAAUAUGAUUAGUCCAGUGUCAACAGAAGAUAGGACACAAUGUGACUGUCACUAUUUUUUCAUGAGAAGAUGGAUAAGACAAUUAAAAGGUCAAGUCUUACUUGGGUAUUAUAUGAAGUGAAUACAAAUAUUAAAAUCAGAAGUUUGAAUUUAAUUAUGAGUAUUCGAUGCGAUUUAUUCUUUAGCUUUUCAAAGACACAUUUUCUUUUUCAAUGACUGGUUAUUUAAAAAGGUAUUUCACAUGAUGUCUACGAAAAUACUGUCACUUGUACAAGAUAUUAAGGGAAAUCAAGUGUUCAGCAAUUAAUUACUCAAUAACAGUUUACACUUUUAUAGAAGUUUGCACUUUAAUGGAAAUAUUUAAGUGUUCAUGUUUGUGUUGAUUAAAUUUGUUAGAUUUU